rnacentral:lncRNA from 1 species
UACGCGAGCUUGUCUGCUUAUAAAAAAGUAGCAUGCAUGCCACUGGUCUAUCAAGUCUAAAGGUUAGGGCAUGAACAAAAGAAGCGAAGAUGAAGAAAAACGAAGGAAAACAUGUUUAUAAAUAACUAGCAAAGGCCGAAUGAGUUCAAGCAAAACAAGAGCUACAAGGAAAAACAAAGAAAAUCCUAAAGGCUACCUAGAAUACUACACUACAACAGCUUGG